rnacentral:rRNA from 1 species
GACGAACGCUGGCGGCGUGCUUAACACAUGCUAGUCGAACGGAAAGGCCCCUUUGGGGGUACUCGAGUGGCGAACGGGUGAGUAACACGUGAGUAACCUGCCCUUGACUUCGGGAUAACUUCAGGAAACUGGGGCUAAUACCGGAUAGGAAUCCUUGCUGCAUGGUGGGGGUUGGAAAGCUUCGGCGGUUUUGGAUGGACUCGCGGCUUAUCAGCUUGUUGGUGGGGUAGUGGCUUACCAAGGCUUUGACGGGUAGCCGGCCUGAGAGGGCGACCGGCCACAUUGGGACUGAGAUACGGCCCAGACUCCUACGGGAGGCAGCAGUGGGGAAUAUUGCACAAUGGGCGGAAGCCUGAUGCAGCAACGCCGCGUGCGGGAUGACGGCCUUCGGGUUGUAAACCGCUUUCAGCAGGGGCGAAGCUUGUGGUGACGGUACCUGCAGAAGAAGCACCGGCUAACUACGUG